rnacentral:rRNA from 1 species
GGGUUGUGAGGUUAAGCGACUAAGCGUACACGGUGGAUGCCCUGGCAGUCAGAGGCGAUGAAGGACGUGCUAAUCUGCGAUAAGCGUCGGUAAGGUGAUAUGAACCGUUAUAACCGGCGAUUUCCGAAUGGGGAAACCCAGUGUGAUUCGUCACACUAUCAUUAACUGAAUCCAUAGGUUAAUGAGGCGAACCGGGGGAACUGAAACAUCUAAGUACCCCGAGGAAAAGAAAUCAACCGAGAUUCCCCCAGUAGCGGCGAGCGAACGGGGAGCAGCCCAGAGUCUGAAUCAGUGUGUGUGUUAGUGGAAGCGUCUGGAAAGGCGCGCGAUACAGGGUGACAGCCCCGUACACAAAAAUGCACAUGCUGUGAGCUCGAUGAGUAGGGCGGGACACGUGGUAUCCUGUCUGAAUAUGGGGGGACCAUCCUCCAAGGCUAAAUACUCCUGACUGACCGAUAGUGAACCAGUACCGUGAGGGAAAGGCGAAAAGAACCCCGGCGAGGGGAGUGAAAAAGAACCUGAAACCGUGUACGUACAAGCAGUGGGAGCACGCUUAGGCGUGUGACCGCGUACCUUUUGUAUAAUGGGUCAGCGACUUAUAUUCUGUAGCAAGGUUAACCGAAUAGGGGAGCCGAAGGGAAACCGAGUCUUAACUGGGCGUUAAGUUGCAGGGUAUAGACCCGAAACCCGGUGAUCUAGCCAUGGGCAGGUUGAAGGUUGGGUAACACUAACUGGAGGACCGAACCGACUAAUGUUGAAAAAUUAGCGGAUGACUUGUGGCUGGGGGUGAAAGGCCAAUCAAACCGGGAGAUAGCUGGUUCUCCCCGAAAGCUAUUUAGGUAGCGCCUCGUGAA